rnacentral:rRNA from 1 species
GAUGAACGCUGGCGGCGUGCUUAACACAUGCAAGUCGAACGGGAAACCUUUUAUUGAAGCUUCGGCAGAUUUAGCUGGUUUCUAGUGGCGGACGGGUGAGUAACGCGUGGGUAACCUGCCUUAUACAGGGGGAUAACAGUCAGAAAUGGCUGCUAAUACCGCAUAAGCGCACAGAGCUGCAUGGCUCAGUGUGAACAACUCCGGUGGUAUAAGAUGGACCCGCGUUGGAUUAGCUGGUUGGUGGGGUAACGGCCCACCAAGGCGACGAUCCAUAGCCGGCCUGAGAGGGUGAACGGCCACAUUGAGACUGAGACACGGCCCAGACUCCUACGGGAGGCAGCAGUGGGGAAUAUUGCACAAUGGGGGAAACCCUGAUGCAGCGACGCCGCGUGAAGGAAGAAGUAUCUCGGUAUGUAAACUUCUAUCAGCAGGGAAGAUAAUGACGGUACCUGACUAAGAAGCCCCGGCUAACUACGUG